AUCUGCAGUCGAGGGGCAGCACGGUAGCAAUACUGGUGGCGACCGGCAAACGGGUGCGGAACACGUACGCAACCUUCCUCUAAGCGGGAGAUAGCCCGGAGAAAUCCGGAUUAAUACCCCAUAGGAUUGUGGAUUGGCAUCAAUCAGCAAUUAAAGAUUUAUCACUUAGAGAUGGGCGUGCGUCUGAUUAGGUAGUUGGUGAGGUAACGGCUCACCAAGCCGACGAUCAGUAACUGGCGUGAGAGCGCGACCAGUCACACGGGCACUGAGACACGGGCCCGACUCCUACGGGAGGCAGCAGUAAGGAAUAUUGGUCAAUGGACGCAAGUCUGAACCAGCCAUGCCGCGUGGAGGAUGAAGGUCCUCUGGAUUGUAAACUUCUUUUAUCUGGGAAGAAAUGCUUUUUUUCUAAAGAGCUUGACGGUACCAGAUGAAUAAGCACCGGCUAACUCCGUGCCAGCAGCCGCGGUAAUACGGAGGGUGCAAGCGUUAUCCGGAUUCACUGGGUUUAAAGGGUGCGUAGGCGGAUUAGAAAGUCCGUUGUGAAAUCUCUGAGCUUAACUCGGAAAUUGCGGUGGAUACUAUUAGUCUUGAAUACUGUGGAGGUUAGCGGAAUAUGUCAUGUAGCGGUGAAAUGCAUAGAUAUGACAUAGAACACCAAUUGCGAAGGCAGCUGGCUACACAGAUAUUGACGCUGAGGCACGAAAGCGUGGGGAUCAAACAGGAUUAGAUACCCUGGUAGUCCACGCCCUAAACGAUGAUUACUCGACAUUUGCGAUACACAGCAAGUGUCUGAGCGAAAGCAUUAAGUAAUCCACCUGGGAAGUACGACCGCAAGGUUGAAACUCAAA
rnacentral:rRNA from 1 species